UCGCAAGUCAUACCAGAGGGGCACACAGCAUUGCAGCAAGUUGCAACCUUCAAAUUUGAGACUCGUGAAAGGGUUAGACCGACAGUGGAUGCUGCCAAUAACAUCCAACAAAUAUACCAUUUCCCAUGCCGAAUUACAGCAGAUUCCACGGGGAAUAACAACACACACAGACAACGUUGACAACAUUCUGGACCAAACCAGUACACUCUCCGGGAAAAAGAGAACUCUUCCACACACACAGACAAAAAUUUCAAACCAAAAUAGACAGAUUCUCCACAAAGUUCAUGUUUCUACUAUAUGAUUUGAUUUGGCGACCUUCUCUUUCCCAUCCCACCAUCAACCUACACAUGGACGAACCAGGAACCAGCUUCAUGGACACAUGACACCAAGAGACUCAUCAUCCUCUGACAAAAAAACCUGGGAACCAAGCAAAUACCUUAGAACGACGCCAUUUCGCUCCUGAAAUUUGUUUUUUACAGAGAAUUAAGGUUAGACAAAAACUAUGUUUGCGUCAAAAAUAAAACAAUCAAAUCACAUGUCCACAACACAAGCGGAUAUAAACAAUUCAAACGGGAACUGUUCUGGAGCAAAUGACAGGUUAUUCCAAACAAGGCACUGCAAACAAGAGAUGCUUGGAACAAAUAAGUGAUCAACAAACUAGAUCAAAUCAUAACAUUCAAGAGCUUUUUGAUGCUUAUGUGUAGCCAAAAUUACAACAUAAUUUCUGCUCUAAAAGAAUUAGUAUUAUGAAGUCUGGGGGCUUCUGUAAGCUUGAAAAACAGACACAUUACACCUUUACAAAUUUCGACGUUGCUUCUGACUAAGCUAUAGGUUUCUGUUGCUCUAGCCUAGCAAAAGGAAUGACAUUGUGUCCUACCCUACAGGUUUCUGUUGUUCUAGCCUAGAAAUGGAAUGAUAGUAUGUUCUACCCUACAAGUUUCUCUUGUUCUAGCCUAACAAUAAGAAUGAUAUUACUCUACCCUACAGGUUUAGAAAGUAAACAGAGCACAAGCCAACAAGCAUAAGCAGCUAGUCAAGUAGAGAUUAGAGGAACAUAUCAACCACAGCAUAAAUCACCAUAUCGAAAUAGAAAUUGGAUGCCAAUGAUAAGCAGAAAAUAUUACAAGUUUUUCCCAAUUACUGUCCAUAAUUCUAUAGGUAAUGAAUGGGCACAACAAGGAAUGACAGUGUAUUCGUCACGUGCUCUGCAAGAUUGUAGCCGAGGAAAAGAACAAGCAAGCUUGGUAAGGUAAAGAAGACAGCAGAGAGAAUAUCAGGACAACAAGAAAGGCUUCCAUGGUCCAAUUCCAACUCUGAAAUGUGGCAUAGAGCAUCUGGCUUUUCUCUGUGCUGGUCACGGGAGGGUGUUGCAAGAGCCGAAUUUUUACCAACCAGUAUUGGGAAAUAAGUUUCUAAGAAGUCAUGGCAAGAAAAGUACUCCAUUUACUAUGGCAGCUGAAGAAAGAUGAACACCUAUUGUAGAAAAUUUCUUCCAGCAAGCAAUUGGAUUGCUCUUCCUAACUAAGCAAUAACUGCAGCAUUCUUUUCAUGAAAGCGAGCUUUUUUUGAAGAUCUUAUCAGAUACUUCAGAAACUAGGGCGUGCCUAUUGUUGGUGUAGCAUGAAUUAACGAAGCAUGUAUAAGUUAGAUAAUCAACAGCUCAAUAGCCAUCCAAAUGAGAGCGGCGAUAUGGCUCAUGCUAUCAUAUAGUCAUAUUAUCUGGUACGUCCAAGCAGGCUGAUAGACAGUUGGACUGCAUUAAAUGACAAAAGGUGUGAGCCGUGGAAAAUCACAUAUACCCCAUGUGCUGGUAUGCGGACAGAGCCUGCGUGAUGUAUAUUGUACAUCUGAUCGUAUGUCUGACACUGAAGGGCCCUGCGUCUGGCAACUCGGUUGGUUGAUAAGGACCGGCGGUCGUGGUUAUUGCUGACGUAUUUGGACCAUGGUCCAGCUUUUUUUUCCACAGCUGCGAUGAAGUGCCAGGGGAAUAUAAAAAGAAAUUACAAAGGAUAGGCUUGGGUGGCAUCAUGGCAGCGUGGGGUGGUCCAUAGGUCACCGCGAAAAAGUGUGUGAGGUCUGAAAAAAAAAGGGUGUUGGAUGUACACACGGGACACGGGAGGCGGAUGGAGACCGAGGCGGCUGGAGCGGAGUCGGCGGCGGCCGCAGCCCGCAGAUGCCUCUUCCCCAUCAUCCCGCCCCGCCGGGUGACCCGUCGCUCGAGACCCUCUCUCACCCCCUGCCCUUCCCCCCUUGAUUCCUUUCGGGCAGUCUCGCAGCCGCGCGCAACCGUUCAUGACGAUAGGAUCGAGGUGGCGGGAAAGGAUGGGUGGUGGUGCGAGAGGUGCCUUCACAGGAUAGCUGCGGUGGCCACGGGGGCGAGGAAGCAGAGACAGCGGCCCUGCAGAGUCCGGCGAGUCGGCGGUCAAGCCCGAUCCAAAGACUCCAGGCUGGAUAAGGAGGUAUAGUCCCGGCAAUCAUCUUCCACACGGUGUGUUGUUUUCUGAUUUGUGUGUGGGAGCACGAUUUGCGCGUUAGUGUAAUUAGGUUUAGAUUGUUGUGGUUGUGGAUAUGCUGGCUUGACUUAUUGCGUAGUGGAGGGUAGAUUUCCCUAAAUUUCCUUUAGCCUACACCUUGUACUAAAUCUGGUAUGAAGAAAACGAUGGUGGUGCACCUAAAAAUUGUAUGAAACAUGCCAUUGGCUUGGCUAGUCCAGUUUUGGUGUAUGAAGUGUAAUCUCUGUCAGUAUCAACACCAGUUUUGGUGUUAGUGAAAAUAGUGCUGAUACUUUCAAUCAAGAACAGGGGAUAACCCCGAUUUAGUAAGCAAAGAGUGGCCACGGGAAAAAAUGGAAAAGAAACGAAUUAAAGUAAUCUGGGGUGAGAUGUUAGGAAGCACGCGUGGUGUUAAAGCACACGUUCUUAACUGGCAAAUUGUAAUUCCAGUGCUAGUUCUUGCGGCUAGAUGAAGUGAUGUUCUAUUAUGCGUGGAGUGGAGGCUAUGUUUUAAAGGCGUCCGUAAGGCGACGCCUAGGCGACGCCUAGGCGUCGAGGCGCCCCCCCAGCGCUUUGCGCUUUAGGCGCCUAGGCGUCCACUUUAGGCGCCUAGGCGUCGCCUAGGCGUCGAAGCGCCCCCCCAGCGCCUUAAAGCAAGGCGUCGCCUUAAAAACAUAGAGUGGAGGAAAAAAUUCUUGUGGGGAGGGAGGGGAUUUUUAAGAUCACGGGCUGUUGAUUGUUUUUUUUUUAGAAUCAAUGUAAGCAGAGCUGAUAGUGAUGCAGUUGUGUAAUGCAAUUUGGGCUCGAGGUGUUGUUGUGUCCCAUUUUGGUUGCAGUUCGUGCCCCGGUAGGAUGGGUGCACUUGAGAAGUCAAUACGAGGUUUUGCGGAAAGAGAUGGAGAAGAAGUGGUGCAGCCAGAACUGGGAACCACAUUCGACUCCUUGACUGAAGCUUACGACUUCUACAGUUUGUACUCAUAUGUUAUAUUUUGAAGUUUUUGCUGGUAUUCCUUGACGCGCUAACACAAUGUAAUCCAAAAUUGUAAACCAGGGGAAACCUCUGCAAAAUUCAAGGGCACAAAACGACGACUUGCCCAGGGACGCCCCUAAGCCGCCUAGGAAGGAAUCAAGUUGCAGCAACUACGACGUGGCUGGCCAUAGGAAGUACAUGUGCGACAGGCAGGGUGGAGAUGGUGCUACUCGCUAGAACCAGGAUCAUAGUACACAUUUGGUUGUGCGAUAGUUGUUUCAACUAAAAAGUUGUAGAACUUUGAGAAAUGGUGCACAAUUGUAUUAGUCAGAUAAUAAUCAGUUGACAGUUGUUUGAUGCUACAAUUUGAUUCCAUUUAGCUUGUACCAUAUGUUUUACAGAAACUAAUAAUCAGUUGACAGUUGUUUGAUGUUUGAAUUUGCUUUCCUUUAGCUUGUACCACGUUGGAGGAACGGGUAACAACGGGGAGAGUAUGGGGCCACCAAACGUUAACCUGACAGCCAGCCCAUUUGCGACAGUGGCACGGUCCAACAAAAAUGACUGACCACCGAGACCGUAUAAGGCCAGGGUUGUUGGCACUAAUUAAUGAGAAGAGACAAACAAGGCCAGCACUGUGCAAAACAUCCCACUCCUGCGCAAUGCAACUGGGUAUACUAGAGCUGGCGAGGAUCUCGAGGAGGACCAUCGGCCCAGAUAAUGGUACCAUAUGGUGGUACGACCCAUAUCAAAUUUCUGAUCCAAAACCCUUCUCAGGAAAAGUUCUGCAUACUCCAUGGAGAUUCUACUUAACACCAAUAUUCAUUACCACAAAUAGUCAGACAGAACUAUCAGACACAUAAAUCUAUCUAUCUGAUAUCUCAUCUGGAGAUAGGUGCACUACAUUACUACUUUUCUGUCCCAAAAAAAUGAAAUGAAUAACAUGAACUAAAGGCAUGCAUCUGAACACAUUUUUGUUUGUUUGGAAGAAGCAUCUGAACACAUAUAUGAAUAUAUGAAUGAAUGAUUCAUCAUAUUAUCUUACUGCAUGAAAUCCAGUUAGACCAUGCAUUGUUGUGUUUCAGCUAGCUUAAAGAGCAAGUAGUAGAAGGCACUAUAUGGCGGUCUGCUCCUAUCUGGUAAGAUUUUUGAGUCUGAAUGGAAUGAAAAAUCUAAUGUGCAGCUUCUAGCUAUAGACUGUUGAGGACAGAAGUUUCACUGGAAACUAAAACACAGAACCAUGAAGUUAGAAAAAUAAUUUAUUUAUAUCAACAUGACUAUCGUGAUACCUCCCAUUUCCAGGCCAAGUGCACUCGAAAUUAAAACACUGAACACAGAAGUUUGAAAAUAGAAUAUGUUUUAUCAUGCUACAAGCACUAGUACACUGAAUUGAAGGAAUAGGACAUGCAGCAGGAGUAUUUUUGACCUGAAUGUUUAACCAGAGGUGCAAGCUAGUGCAUUUUUUUUCCAUAAACACAAGUGCUUAAACCAAACCGUACAAGAGUGUUUAAACCACAGGUGCAAGAUAGUGUAAAUUUUCUUCAUAAAUACAAGUGCUUGAACCAAACCAUACAAGAGAAGAUCAAUAAUUUUAUCCAUAGUUGCUCAGCGAAUUGUGUGUUUUAAAUGACAGGGAGGCAACACAGCAAACAAACUUGUACCAAUGAAUGACUUUCAUCCUCCAGACUUUGAGGACACGUAUUAAAAUGUAUUACUAUCACAAGGAAAAAAAAGAACGGAAAGGAACAAGUUGCUUACCUAGACGAUGUUGGCAUUAUAGGCAGCACAAAGCUGAAGAAGAGCACUUUUGUUUGCUGGGUCCACAUGCUGCUCAAUGAUAGGACCAAACCUUCCAGGAGACUGUGCAGAAAGCGAGGCCAAGGAUGUUACCAGAAACUGCUUUGGAUCAUUUAUGUCUUUCAACAGAUCAUCUUCACUCUUCCCAGCAUAUUGAAGGCGUACAAAUGAGACAGAAUAACCUGAUGUCCUCUGACUAUCCACCGCAUCAGCUCCGUCAUUUUGCUCUUGUUGUACUCCAUCUUGCUCCGUUCUAGACAACAGUGUGACAAUGCUAUCAAGCAAUUUACCCCACGUUUGGGCUGCAGCAGCAUCCAGCAGCACCGCGGACUCACAAAGCAACUUUGUUGAGGCAACUGCUGUAAGCUUGAUUUCAAGAGAACCUUUGAUCAACUUGAGAUUGGGAAUCCAAAAACGCUGAAGAAUUGUGGUGAAGAGAUUUGGCUGAAUCGUAUCAACAGAACUGACAAGAACACCUGGCCCAUACUUGACUGACACCAAGGACAUGACCACCACAAGAGAAUUCACAAACUUCACUGCUUGCCUAGUCUGUAAGCGAGUAAAGAGA
rnacentral:lncRNA from 1 species